rnacentral:snoRNA from 1 species
AAGCAGUACUUAGGAGGAUCCAUGGGGGCCCAGUGUGCCAUGGCUGCAAACAGUAGCCUCCUUGGUAGUGUAUGCAGCCUGUUGAUUGUAUGGGUUGCCCUAAGGGACCUUGGAGACAGCC